CAGAUUUUUAAUAAUUCUCAGAAUUAACAAAAUUAAUGAGUUGUGAAGUCUCCUGUUCUGAAGGUACUACAGUUUUUUUUCUGUCUGAGGUGAGGUUGUGACCUGUUCUUAAGCAAACAUGAGCAACUCUUUUCUACACAAAUCAAAGAAUUGAGUGGAAAGGCUGAUACUGUUGGACAGGUCAGUGAAAUUGUUGUUGUGGAAAAGGACUGGCAGUACAAGCAUAUGAUUUUUGUAAUGGAUUCUACAAAUUGAACCUUUUCAAUAUAUUCUCUUGCUCCAUGAACAUGACAUUAAAAAUAGCUCAAGCAGAGUUUGGUGCAAUUGUGGCAGGAACAGGUUGCCAUGGUUGUCACUACAAAUCUGAAAUGGUAGAGCUUUGUUCUGGAGGGGAAGAAUUCAAGUCUCCUGUGUGGGUCACCACAGUAAUUAUUCCUCAUGCUGCAGUUGCCCUGUUUCAGUCCGAUGGUAAUGGUUGCUUUGUCACCCUGCAGAGUCGUGUAUAGGAAACAAGACAGAGGCACCACCUAUUCUACUGUUACAUUUCAGCUUCCUCCUCUUGAGUUAAGGUUAAAAUUGGAGAUUUGCAGCGCCAACAGUGAUCUAAGAACUUCUGUUGAUGCUGUAUCAAAACACUCAUGAUAUUUGGACUUCCCUUCAGAUGGAAACCUGAGUUGUGACUGAUCAAUAAGCCCUUAUAAUGGGGUUUUCCUGUUUGAUUUUCUACCUACUGGAUUAUUGCAGUGAUUCUAGGGAUCCUCUUCUUGGUAUUGCUGGGAAUAACAGGGCAUUUUAUUACCAAAGGCUGUCCAUGUCCAUGCUGCCCUGAGCAGUGAGUGACCUACAGAGGCAGUUGUUACUCCUCCAAGGAGAAGGACUGGAAUUCCAGCCAGGAAUCCUGCCGGGCAGAGAGAGCUCAUCUCCUGGUGAUCAGCAAUACCAGUGAAAUGGUGGGUGCCUUUGCAGAGGCAGGGGCAGGAUGAAGUGGGAGCAAGUCCCUGGCACUGUUAUGGUAGUUCCUUCCCUCUGGGAGGAAGGGAGAGCAUAAAAGGCUCCUGGGACCCACCCACCACCACCCUGCACUGGCAAAGACAAGGCCUUCCCUUAGACAGUUUGCAAGAGGGACUUGCUUCUUUCUACCUGACUCAGCUGAGUUUUGUUUGUCAUGAGUUCAGCCUUCAUAACCCACAGCUGGGGAAGCUGCCUGGCACUCUGAAAUGCUGAGUCUCACAAAGCAGGUCUCGGAAGGAAGGAAGGGAAUAGGUGUUCACAUUCACAAAUGGCCCCAAAAUUUCCUCUCUCACACACUGCUUCUUUCUCUACCCUUCAAGACCCAGGACUUGACUGGGUUUCUUUGAGUCUACUAAUCUCUCUGCCUUUCCAUCCCUCCUAGGACUUCUUCCAGAUACUACACAGCAAAUCCCACUGGAUUGGUUUGCAGAGGAACACUGAUGGGAACUGGGCCUGGGAAGACGGCUCAAAACUGAGCAGUGAAAAUCGAGUAUGGUGUUUCCUUUGUACUUUUAGAUAAAAUGCUUGAGAUCCUUCCCCUCUCUGACAUGAAAAUUGGGCAGAAGUCAACCAGCAAUGGACACGCUGCUAAGGGAUGUUCAGAGCAGUCAUGGGCUCUAGCAGCUAAGGGCUUCUUCCUGCCCAGCUACCAGGGCCCAGCUGGGUGCCUGGGAGUCUUUAUCCCAGGCUAAUGGACACACCUGCUACAUUCCUGCCAGUAGGUCCCACCUGUUUUGUGUCCCGGGACAAAUAUGGAUACAGGCACACAUGCAAGCAAAACUGUGACAGUGAUUGUGCCUGUAAUCAUCAGCUGCUCCCAGAGAAUCAGACCCAUUCCUUGCUUUACCUCAUCCCCUCUCUUUCCUCCUUGUCCCCUUAAAGUUCCUCAACAAGUUUUGCACAGGCACACAGGCCCACCUUGAAUGUACUCAAAUCCUCCAGUUCCACUUUCACCUCACCUUUUAUCUGUUACAAAGCCCAAGGUGCCUCUGUCCAAAGCUGUGACUGGAGGUUUUUUAUGGCCCAUUGAUUAGUAGCUGAAGACUUUUGGUCUUUGCAGUUUUGUCUUUUAUUUCUUGAAUGUUUGUGUCUGUGGAUUGCAGUUUUGUCUUUUAUUUCUUGAAUGUUUGUGUCUGUGGAUUUCUGUUUCAUCAUUUUGUCCUCAUUAUGAUCUUUUGCACUGAACGAGUCCUUGAUUGGAUAACCUUAAUGAAGCAGAGGCUUACACCUUUCACAUACCCAUACAGAUGAUUUUAACUGGAUACUUCAGCUGGGAUACUUUAUACUUUCUGUCCCAAAUGCCUUUAGUAAAACAGAAAAAAAGUUUUUCUUUUUUGUUUUCCUUGU